UGGGGAAUAUUGGACAAUGGGCGCAAGCCUGAUCCAGCCAUGCCGCGUGAGUGAUAAAGGCCCUAGGGUUGUAAAGCUCUUUCACCGGUGAAGAUAAUGACGGUAACCGGAGAAGAAGCCCCGGCUAACUUCGUGCCAGCAGCCGCGGUAAUACGAAGGGGGCUAGCGUUGUUCGGAUUUACUGGGCGUAAAGCGCACGUAGGCGGACUUUUAAGUCAGGGGUGAAAUCCCGGGGCUCAACCCCGGAACUGCCUUUGAUACUGGAAGUCUUGAGUAUGGGAGAGGUGAGUGGAAUUCCGAGUGUAGAGGUGAAAUUCGUAGAUAUUCGGAGGAACACCAGUGGCGAAGGCGGCUCACUGGACCAUUACUGACGCUGAGGUGCGAAAGCGUGGGGAGCAAACAGG
rnacentral:rRNA from 1 species